rnacentral:rRNA from 1 species
GGGGAGCUGUAAGUAAGCUUUGAUCCAGAGAUUUCCGAAUGGGGAAACCCUCUAUCCGUAAUGGGAUAGAAUCUUUACCUGAAUACAUAGGGUACUGAAGGCAGACCCGGGGAACUGAAACAUCUAAGUACCCGGAGGAAGAGAAAGCAAACGCGAUUCCCUGAGUAGCGGCGAGCGAAACGGGAUUAGCCCAAACCAAGAGGCUUGCCUCUUGGGGUUGUAGGACACUCUAUAUGGAGUUACAAAGGAACGGGGUAGACGAAUCGAUCUGGAAAGGUCAGUCGUAGAAGGUAAAAACCCUGUAGUCGAAACUUCGUUCCCUCUUGAGUGUAUCCUGAGUACGGCGGGACACGAGAAAUCCCGUCGGAAGCAGGGAGGACCAUCUCCCAAGGCUAAAUACUCCCUAGUGACCGAUAGUGAACCAGUACCGUGAGGGAAAGGUGAAAAGCACCCCGGAAGGGGAGUGAAAUAGAUCCUGAAACCGUGUGCCUACAAGUAGUUAGAGCCCAUUUAUGGGUGAUAGCGUGCCUUUUGUAGAAUGAACCGGCGAGUUACGAUUACAUGCGAGGUUAAGUUGAUAAGACGGAGCCGCAGCGAAAGCGAGUCUGAAUAGGGCGAAAUAGUAUGUGGUUGUAGACCCGAAACCAGGUGAUCUACCCAUGUCCAGGGUGAAGUCCAGGUAACACUGGAUGGAGGCCCGAACCCACGCACGUUGAAAAGUGCGGGGAUGAGGUGUGGGUAGCGGAGAAAUUCCAAUCGAACUUGGAGAUAGCUGGUUCUCUCCGAAAUAGCUUUAGGGCUAGCCUCAAGAUUUAGAGUAUUGGAGGUAGAGCACUGUUUGGACUAGGGGCCCCCAUCGGGUUACCGAAUUCAGACAAACUCCGAAUGCCAAAUACUUAUUCUUGGGAGUCAGACUACGAGUGAUAAGAUCCGUGGUCAAGAGGGAAACAGCCCAGACCACCAGCUAAGGUCCCAAAGUAUACGUUAAGUGGAAAAGGAUGUGGAGUUGCUUAGACAACCAGGAUGUUGGCUUAGAAGCAGCCACCAUUUAAAGAGUGCGUAAUAGCUCACUGGUCGAGUGACUCUGCGCCGAAAAUGUACCGGGGCUAAACGUAUCACCGAAGCUGUGGAUUGACAUCUAUGAUGUCAGUGGUAGGAGAGCGUUCUAAGGGCGUUGAAGCUAGACCGUAAGGACUGGUGGAGCGCUUAGAAGUGAGAAUGCCGGUAUGAGUAGCGAAAGAUGAGUGAGAAUCUCAUCCACCGAAUGCCUAAGGUUUCCUGAGGAAGGCUCGUCCGCUCAGGGUUAGUCGGGACCUAAGCCGAGGCUGAAAAGCGUAGGCGAUGGACAACAGGUUGAUAUUCCUGUACCACCUUUAAAUCAUUUGAGCAAUGGGGGGACGCAGGAGGAUAGGGUAAGCGUGCUGUUGGAUUAGCACGUCCAAGCAGUUAGGCCGGUAAUGAGGCAAAUCCCAUUACCAUACGGCGGAGCUGUGACGGCGAGGGAAAUAUAGUACCGAAGUUCCUGAUUCCACACUGCCAAGAAAAGCCUCUAGCGAGAUUUAUGGUGCCCGUACCGCAAACCGACACAGGUAGGCGAGGAGAGAAUCCUAAGGUGAGCGAGAGAACUCUCGUUAAGGAACUCGGCAAAAUGACCCCGUAACUUCGGGAGAAGGGGUGCUCUUUUGGGUGUUAAAGCCCGAGAGAGCCGCAGUGAAUAGGCCCAGGCGACUGUUUAGCAAAAACACAGGUCUCUGCGAAGCCGCAAGGCGAAGUAUAGGGGCUGACACCUGCCCGGUGCUGGAAGGUUAAGAGGAGGGGUUAGCACGUAAGUGCGAAGCUCUGAAUUGAAGCCCCAGUAAACGGCGGCCGUAACUAUAACGGUCCUAAGGUAGCGAAAUUCCUUGUCGGGUAAGUUCCGACCCGCACGAAAGGUGUAACGAUCUGGGCACUGUCUCAACGAGAGACUCGGUGAAAUUAUAGUACCUGUGAAGAUGCAGGUUACCCGCGACAGGACGGAAAGACCCCGUGGAGCUUUACUGCAGCCUGAUAUUGAAUUUUGGUACAGCUUGUACAGGAUAGGUAGGAGCCUUGGAAGCCGGAGCGCUAGCUUCGGUGGAGGCAUUGGUGGGAUACUACCCUGGCUGUAUUGACAUUCUAACCCGCACCCCUUAUCGGGGUGGGAGACAGUGUCAGGUGGGCAGUUUGACUGGGGCGGUCGCCUCCUAAAAAGUAACGGAGGCGCCCAAAGGUUCCCUCAGAAUGGUUGGAAAUCAUUCGUAGAGUGUAAAGGCACAAGGGAGCUUGACUGCGAGACCUACAAGUCGAGCAGGGACGAAAGUCGGGCUUAGUGAUCCGGUGGUUCCGCAUGGAAGGGCCAUCGCUCAACGGAUAAAAGCUACCCCGGGGAUAACAGGCUUAUCUCCCCCAAGAGU